CACGAACGCUGGCGGCAUGCCUAAUACAUGCAAGUCGAGCGGAAGUUGGAGAGCUUGCUCUUCAACUUUAGCGGCGGACGGGUGAGUAACACGUGGGCAACCUGCCCUGCAGAUCGGGAUAACUCCGGGAAACCGGUGCUAAUACCGAAUAGUUUUCGCCACCUCCUGGUGGCGUACGGAAAGACGGUUUCGGCUGUCACUGCAGGAUGGGCCCGCGGCGCAUUAGCUAGUUGGUGGGGUAACGGCCCACCAAGGCGACGAUGCGUAGCCGGACUGGAGGGGGGAGAGGCCACACUGGGACUGAGACACGGCCCAGACUCCGACGGGGGGCAGCAGUAGGGAAUCUUCCGCAAUGGACGAAAGUCUGACGGAGCAACGCCGCGUGAGUGACGAAGGUUUUCGGAUCGUAAAACUCUGUUGUGAGGGAAGAACAAGUACCAAUUAACUACUGGUACCUUGACGGUACCUCACCAGAAAGCCACGGCUAACUACGUACCAGCCGCCGCCGUAAUAC
rnacentral:rRNA from 1 species